rnacentral:rRNA from 1 species
GAUUGGGAGGAACACCAGUGGCGAAGGCGAUUUGCUGGACUGCAACUGACGUUGAGAUGCGAAAGCUAGGGGAGCAAACGGGAUUAGAUACCCCGGUAGUCCUAGCCGUAAACGAUGGAUACUAGGUGUAGAGGGUAUCGACCCCUUCUGUGCCGCAGCGAACGCAAUAAGUAUCCCGCCUGGGGAGUACGGUCGCAAGACUGAAACUCAAAGGAAUUGACGGGGGCCCGCACAAGCAGUGGAGCAUGUGGUUUAAUUCGACGCAACCCGAAGAACCUUACCAGGUCUUGACAUUUAUGGAACUUGGGCAGAGAUGCCUCGGUGCCCCUUCGGGGGAGCCAUAAAACAGGUGGUGCAUGGUUGUCGUCAGCUCGUGUCGUGAGAUGUUGGGUUAAGUCCCGCAACGAGCGCAACCCUUGAUAAUAGUUGCCAGCAAGUAAGGUUGGGCACUCUUAUUGUGACUGCCGUAGAUAAUACGGAGGAAGGUGGGGAUGACGUCAAAUCAUCAUGCCCUAUAUGACCUGGGCUACACACGUGCUACAAUGGGGUGGAACAACGGGAAGCAAGCCAGCGAUGGUAAGCGGACCCCUAAAAACACCUCUCAGUUCAGAUUGCAGGCUGCAACCCGCCUGCAUGAAGUCGGAAUUGCUAGUAAUCGCGGAUCAGCAUGCCGCGGUGAAUACGUUCCCGGGCCUUGUACACACCGCCCGUCACACCACGAAAGUUGGCAACACCCGAAG